rnacentral:rRNA from 1 species
AUUGAACGCUGGCGGCAGGCUUAACACAUGCAAGUCGAGCGGCAGCGGAAGGAAGCUUGCUUCCUUGCCGGCGAGCGGCGGACGGGUGAGUAAGGUAUGGGGAUCUGGCCGAAGGCGGGGGAUAACCACUGGAAACGGUGGCUAAUACCGCAUAAUCUCUAAGGAGCACAGUGGGGGACCGUUCAGGACUCACCACUUCGGAUGAACCCAAAUGAAAGUAGCUAGUAGGUGGGGUAAUGGCACACCUAGGCGACGAUCUCUAGCUGGUCUGAGAGGAUGAUCAGCCACACUGGGACUGAGACACGGCCCAGACUCCUACGGGAGGCAGCAGUGGGGAAUAUUGCACAAUGGGCGCAAGCCUGAUGCAGCCAUGCCGCGUGUAUGAAGAAGGCCUUCGGGUUGUAAAGUACUUUCAGUCGUGAGGAAGGUGUUAAGGUUAAUAACCUUAGCAAUUGACGUUAGCGACAGAAGAAGCACCGGCUAACUCCGUGCCAGCCGCCGCAGUAA